UUUUUUCCUCGGCAAGUUUUUUUUGUCGGCCUCCUGAGGUGUAGCGGUUGUAGCGCUGACCCUAAAACCAAGAGGUCCCGGGUUCGAUUCCCGGCUAAGUGACCUGAGUUUGAUGGUCUCAGACAAUGGUCAUCUGGGGCUGGUGGAUUAGCCAAUAAGGGCUAUUUGAAGCUUGUUAAAAAAAAAAAAAAAAAAAAAAAAAGAAACAAAAGAAACAAAAGAAACAAAAGGACAAAAUAAACCAAAAAAACAAAAAAAAAAAACAAACAAACAAAAGAGACAAAAGAACGAAAUAAACAAAAAAAACAAAAAAUACAAAAAAGAACAAAAAAAAACAAAAAAAACAAAAAAAAACGAAAAAACGAAAAAAAUGUAGCCGCAUUUUAUGGCCGAUCCGGCAGCCCCGCCUGAUCAGGGUUGCGCGUUGAUGAGAGGAUUCCGAUUAGACGAAUGCAAAGUAGGCGCGUUUUUUUUUUUUUUUUUUUAUGCAGCCGGGUGCCGGGAUGGGCGUCUGAUUGCGACCGGGCCGAUCAGGUCGGCGUGCAGCAUCCCGGUCCAGUGUGUGUUUACCUAUUCUACUCGCUAGACGCUCCGGAGUGCGACAGUCCUGAUCGCGAUUCUGCUUGCGUGAACGAGUCGGCCGGGUUCGCCUUUUCGCUCCAGGAUCGGUUUUUUUGUGUCUCCUGCGUCACGUCUUUUUCGAGAUUCGCACAGGUAUGUCAAAAAACAGAGCUUUUCAUUCAAAGCACAUUAAACUGGUUAAUAGCUGAAACUAUAGGUAGUGGCUCAGGUAAGGAAAGCGCUUUGCUUAUUGAAUAACAAUCAGUGUACUGAAGAAAUACAUGGAUUUAAGCGGACUACAUUUUGCAAUUAGGAACCACAACUUCUGACUCAUCCGUAAAAACGCUCAUAAGCAUAGGGAAGCUAAUGGUACGUACGUUCUUUAAAAACUGAGCUGAAAAUUGUAGUUCCUAGUUGUAAAAUGUAGUUCAUGUGGAUUUGACGCAAAAGGAGCCGGGGUCACUCUAGUUCACACACCAACCCGUGACCCAUCGUAUUGUUUAUCUCACGUCAAGGCAAACAACUUCUACAGAAUGGAACUAUUCGUGCUCGAGAGAUGUGCUGGUUGCAUAGACAGAAAUUUGAAGGCACUCGAGGCUUUUUCUCUCACAAUGAUUCACCGCUAGUAGCUCGUUCCUCACGUGUUACUCCCAGAGUGAAAUAUUUGGUCCAUAAAAGGUUGAGUCUGAUUAAUUUAAGAGAGCCUUUUUUUUUAAAAAAAAAAAAAUAUAGCCUUUGAUAUUUAAUGCGGUAUUGUCUCGAAACAAAGAUGCUUUUUCGAUCUUACCGCUUGAAACAAUCUAGAGCCUUUUACAGUUUUGAGUCAUUUUCUGUAGGAAAUAAAUUUUUCUUCGCUCUAGCUGAAGCUUGCAACAAGCCUAUUAAGAGCAGCUUAUUUUCAGUACCCCUUUCAAACCAAGGCGGAUAAAGAAAUAAGGUGGUCGCGUUUCGAGUUCGCCAUUUUAAAGGCUGUGACGCGCAGCUGGGUACAUGCUUUGCCAUGCAAUCAGGAUGUACCCGAAACGUGCCCCAUGCCGUGUGACGUCAUGAGGGUACGAAAUGUGACCACCAUUCUUUAUCCGCCUUGCUUUCAAACAGUCUAUCUAUCUAGACCCCAAACAUAUUUUUCAGUAUAAGAAGGAUUUAAAUCCUAAACAUUUUUUCCUUUGGCAACCGCUGAACAAAGAUGGUGGCAAGUUUCAAGCUGAAGGGGGGAGGGGGAGAGGAGGUAAGGCUCUCCGGAAAAAUCUAUGCACGCGUCGAGUAGGAACUCGCUCGCCUUGGUCGCAAGAUUGACCGAUUCCAUCUCUGCUUGUGCUCCGUAUUUCCAACGCUAUUUUGCAAAUCCCGCUGUUUCUGGUCGUUAGUAAUAAAUCAAAAGAAAAUCGCACGUUCUCUGGCGAGUGUCUUUUAAUAUGGUUAGACCCGACCAGAGACAAGAUAUUUCAGAGACCCUGCACUAACAAACUAAGAAGUCCAGUCUAGAGAGGUAAAAGUUAAGUUCAUGGGUCAAUGCUAUACUGCCGUGGUAUGGAAAAACGCCGCACAGUAGAGAUAAAAAUAGGAGGAAAUGCUCACCCAAACGUUCAUCAGUCAUCAUUCGGUGAAUUUUAUUUGACUUUUACGGCAUUUCCGCCGUAAAAAUAGGAGAGGUCGGACAAAAUUCGGCAAUUUUAAAAUCUUAUAACUCUGUUCAUACAACAUUUUGAGGUUUUAAAAGUGGUUCCAUUGGUUUUUUCGUGAAAUUUUCUUCUAGAAGCACCCAUUGAAAUUUAAAAUGUGACGGAAGAAACAUCGAAACUUGCAGUUUUAGUCAAAAAUUUCAUGUCCGACCUCUCUAAAUGACUCGAUCGACUGGUGGACGUAUGAACCUUCAGGCUUUGCAAAAUUCUCUCUGAUAAAAUACAAAUUCAUCGGGGAAAUUGUGCAUGUUUUUCAUCAAAUUUUUCAGACUGCUUUUUUCGCUAUUUAUUCUAAAAUAUCUGGAAGUUUCAAAGAAAAAUAUGCAUAUAUUUCGUCAAUAACACAUCUUAUAUUCGGAGAACUUCGGCAACUCGCGAAUGUUCAUACGACGUUCUUCCUUAGCACCGCAGUAUAAUGCUGGUGGAUGAGCAAGUUUUCGAAUAAAAAGUCAAGUAAAAUUCACCGAAUGAUGACUGAUGAACGUUUGGGUGAGCAUUUUGCUAGACGGGUUUUUUGCAAAAUUAAGUUAGGCAUGCUAUACUACAGUAAAAGUUCGUUAAGUCGAAUUGUCUGGGGACCAAUGAAAAAUUCGACUUAAGCGGCAAUUCGAGUUAUUCGUCUCCCCGCUUAACUCGAAAUCAGCGUGAAAAUCGCAAAAAUUCGACUUAAGCGGCAAUGCCGCCGCGUGAUUUAAGUGAUUUUGUCUUGCGCUUUUUAACUUUUACUCUUUUUAAUUUUAAGUUUUAAGCCAGAUCAAUGAAAUUUAGUCAAAUCAGUGUUUUCUAUGACGCAAUGAGUGAAGUUAGUGUUCCGUAGUGUCAAGUGUCAACGCCAAGCAUAAAAAAAAUUCAAUUUUCGGACAUAACAACCAACAGGUGUCACUUUUCUACUCCCUUCGUGUAUGCAGGUUGCAGGUACGUAGCAACGAAUCUCUUUUCUACAUUUCCCCCGUCUAUAUUGCGCAUUUUUUGUGUUUUUCGUUGUAAAAAUCCGGAUUUUUCGAAAAAAAAAUUUCGACAUAAGCGGCUUUCCAUCCGGCUCAAAAAUUUGCGAAUUCGUCUAAAGCGUAAUUUUUUUUAACGUUGUUCCAUAUGCAACGUCGCGGGACCGAAGAAAAUUUCGACUUAAGCGGAUUUUCGUCUUAAUCGUCGUUCGACUUAACGAACUUUUACUGUAAUUGCUCAAUCCUUUGGUUCUUGGAAUCUGAACGUUGAAUUCCGAGGGUUUCUUUUACACAAUAUGGGGCAGGUAGCGGUGCGAGGUAACUUUAGCG
rnacentral:lncRNA from 1 species